UACGGGGGGGGCAAGCGUUGUUCGGAAUUACUGGGCGUAAAGGGCUCGUAGGCGGCCAACUAAGUCAGACGUGAAAUCCCUCGGCUUAACCGGGGAACUGCGUCUGAUACUGGGAUGGCUUGAGAUUGGGGAGAGGGAUGCGGAAUUCCAGGUGUAGCGGUGAAAUGCGUAGAUAUCUGGAGGAACACCGGUGGCGAAGGCGGCAUCCUGGACCAACACUGACGCUGAGGAGCGAAAGCCAGGGGAGCAAACGGGG
rnacentral:rRNA from 1 species